rnacentral:rRNA from 1 species
UACGUAGGGUGCGAGCGUUACUCGGAAUUACUGGGCGUAAAGCGUGCGCAGGCGGCGCCGCAAGUCAGGCGUGAAAUCCCCGAGCUUAACUUGGGAAUGGCGCUUGAAACUACGGUGCUGGAGUGUGGCAGAGGGAGGUGGAAUUCCACGUGUAGCGGUGAAAUGCGUAGAUAUCUGGAGGAACACCGGUGGCGAAGGCGGCAUCCUGGACCAAUAUUGACGCUGAGGAGCGAAAGCCAGGGGAGCAAACGGG